rnacentral:rRNA from 3 species
GUCGUAACAAGGUUUCCGUAGGUGAACCUGCGGAAGGAUCAUUU